CCUUUGUAAUCUAGAAAAAAUCAUUCGUUGAAUCCAUUACCUUCUUCCAUCUAGAAAUCUUUCCCUUUGUAAUAUUUGAAGAAUUGAAAUCAAUUGCAACACUUGAUCUAAGGUCUCCAUGUCGAACCAAAAUCAAAGCGAUAUAGUAGUAAAUAAUGAGGAGAUGAUUAUAGAAAGAAAUCUAAAAAAAUGGAAAAUGGCUUCAGUACCUAUUAAUCAAAUUUAUAAGCAAUCUAUUUUUUCAAAAUUUUCAAUUAAGUCAGAUUAUAAAAUAAAAACGUUUGAAAGAACCUUGUCUUUAAAUAAUGAGAACGAGUCAAUACAAUUAUUCAAUGAGGAAUUAAUGCAAGAGCAUAGGCAGGAGUAUUUAUCUGUUAAUUUUGGAUUAGUUCAAGUAGCAAUUAAACCACUAAUAAGACAGGGAUUAAAUACAAGUGUAUCAUUAUGUUUAAGAGAUGGUAGACAACUUAAUUUUGAUCAGUCUAUAAUAGGAAGGAUUGAAACGUCUUUAUAUGAAGAUCCACUUUAUUUUAAUUGUUUUCCUAAUUUUACUUUACCUAUUUGUGAACCAGACUUACCGUGUGGAUUAACAUUGGAUGUUAAAAUUAAUAAUAUGGUGAGAGGAUCACAACCUUUAACAAUUAUGUAUAGGAUUUGUUAUGAAUUGAUGAAAACAUUAUUUUCAAAAUCAUUAGAUAAAAACACUUCCUUCAUACAAACAAAUGCUAGGAAUUCUAGUAACACUUCAUUAAUACAAACAAAUGCUAGGAAUUCUAGUAUUAUAAGUCUGUGCUGUGUAUCCAAGAGUUAGCCGAUAUACAUCACUGUCAGUUUCUAAGACCUUUUCCCCUCUUCGUAUUUGUGUUAAAAUAUUUAGUAUUUUUUUUUUUAAAUCGUAAGUAAAUUGAAUGGAAUCAAAUUACACUUCCAAAUCAAUUGAUAUCAGAAACUCUUGAACCUCCAAAUGUUGGAAGCAGCAACUCAAAUAUCAGAUGUAGAGGACGAAGACCAAAGUGAUUCUCCUUUACCAGAUUACUUUCAAGAUGCUCAAGACUGGUAUGGGAUAUCAUUUCAGUUGAAUUAAUAUAAGAUUUUCAGCAUUUUCUGUAUCAAAAUAAAUCAGAGGAUUUUACUUUUGGUAUUAUUAGAAAAAUUACUUUUGGAGGAAUUAGAUAGCUCUAGCAGCUUGUAUCAGACCUUUCAUUAUUCAUCUACAAUAUCAUUUUGGUGGUAUCAGGAAUUAUUGAAGCCUUUUCACUAUUCAUCUAUGGUAUUGUUCCGGCGGUAUCAGCAAUUAUUGAAGACUUUUCACUAUUCAAGGAUAUUGUUGUUCAUAUUACUAGUCAUUGUAUUAUUGUAAUUUAAUUAUUCACUUUUGUAGCCUAUAUAAGACUCCCUUGUUUGGGAUCUGCUUAUUUUCCAAAGUUUCCUUUGCAACCUUCUUUUAUCCCAAAUCUUACCCUCAAUCUUCCCUUGUAAUAUUUUAAAAUAUUUAAAUGAAUUUUAGAGUUUCAAGUA